ensembl:lncRNA
AAACCCUCGCUUUCCCUCCUCCUCUCCACCUUUUGUCACCUGUUCAGGUAAACCUGCACGGUUUCUAUGGAGACAGAUUGAACACACCCUCCUCCACUGUCAUCACGAGCAGCUGGUUGAUUACUGUUGAUUGCUGGUUGAUUGUUUAUCGGUUUGUCCGUUUUGAUUGAGAUGGUUUUACACCGCGGACAAGUCCACAACCCGUUUGCUUCACCACUACGACGUUGAAAUCGUGUAAAUAGUUUUGGGAUUAAACACGUCAUCUCCCGGUCAACCGAGGCGCUGAACCCGAGCUGUUUAGUCAUACAGGGUGUGUCUCUGUUCACUCGCAGCGGACUCGUUUUUCCACUCUUUCUACCGGUUCCUCUCUCUUUCUCGCCCUCUCUUUACUGCGAGCUCCGGUGCAGAUCUCCUCCGACAGAACGAUCUUUCUUCGAAUCAAACCAACUGUCAGCUAUCUAUCAGAAUGAAAACCACAGUGUCUCUGUGUGUGUGGAGCAGAGGGGCUGUAUUUGGGGAAGUCAGUAUGAGUCAUGUGUGUGGGCCUUUCUUCAGACAGGGUGGGUCUCUGCCUCCUCUCUCUCUUCCUCUCUCUCUUUCUCUCUCUCUUCCUCUCCCUCUCUCCCUCUCUCUCUCUCUCUCCCUCUCUUCCUCUCUCUCUCCCUCUCUUCCUCUCU